GCCAUUUGGGAUGAUACUGUCGUCUCUCUAUCUCGUCUUUGUGAGAGACUCUAAUUUUCUGUUUCUUCUCCUUUUCUCUCGCUCUGUCUCUGGUGUAAACAGGAUGCCCGUCCAUUCAGCAGUGCACCGCUGAGAUUGCCAGUUUCUGCUUCCUCCCAUCCUGACAGAGAUUGUCAAUCUGGUCAGCUCCCUGGCCAGCGACACCACUGUCAAGGUGUUCGAUAGGACGAGUUGUCCCCAAGGAGACAUCUUUGUUCCCAUGCCUCUGAUCCAACACCCCACCUGCCACCUAUAGAAACUUCAUCCUCAUUGGAAGGAUCUUCCACCAGUGGCAUUGCUGCACAGAGCAAGCCAGCUCUUAUAGAGCUGUCUGUUGCCAGUGCCUGCAUCCUGCCAACGACUGCAUCCUGCCAGUGCCUGCAUCCUGUCAGUGACUGCAUCCUGCCAGUGCCUACAUCCUGCCAGUGACUGGAUCCUGUCAGUGACUGCAUCCUGCCAGUGCCUGCAUCCUGCCAAUGACUGCAUCCUGCCAGUGCCUGCAUCCUGCCAAUGACUGCAUCAUGCCAAUGACUGCAUCCUGCCAGUGCCUGCAUCCUGCCAGUGCCUGCAUCCUGCCAAUGACUGCAUCCUGCCAAUAACUGCAUCCUGCCAGUGCCUGCAUCCUGCCAGUG